GGAGAGGGAGGGAUGAAGAUGUAGUAGAGGAAGGGGGAUUGUAGCUGCUCUUGCUCUCCUCUCUGUAUGUCUGGAGUAAGCCAAGCUUUUAUGGACACAGAAACAGUUUAAGUGAAAUCCUUGAAGUAAGGAGAGAAUUUUUAGGAUUUUUCAGAUUUUCUGUUUUUUAGGGGCAACUGAUUUCAAUAUGUUGGAUGUGGAAUCAACAGGCAGAAUCUCCUGACCUCUGAUGAGGAAGCUUUGUGUUUACGUCCAAGGACUUAAUGGGACUUGUGUGACUGGACUUCUCUCCCACUUAUCUUAAUGCUUUUCCUUUCUUUUUUUUGCUUUUUUCUUUUCCUCCUGAACUUCAGAUUUUUCAUCACCUCUGCUUAACACGUGAACAAUUUCCAAGGUAACUUUUUUUUUUCUACAUAUAAACCAUACCAGGACCUGUGAGCAUGCUUACACAACUGCUCUAAAGUCUUAGUUAAUUUUGUCUGAAUGCAAGGAAUCACUGUUGACACAUUUUUUCCCCUCCACUGACUCUGUUUUCCAAAUUAGUUCACCUGCUUCUCAGCAGCUGUCUUUAUUUUUAAGGCACAGGUGACAGAAAAACAAGAGAAAGAGCAGAUGGCGCAGACAGAAGGACUAACGAUGCUGGGAAAUGUGAAAUCUAAAGACAAUUUGGGGGCAAAAGCCAUGGCUGGGUGCCCUACAGCUGGGGGAGGAGUGGUGGUGGAGGUCAGGGAGAAGAAAGGAUCUUUAAGGGCUGCAAUACCAACAAUGCCUUUUCCUCUGGCUGUCAUCUGUCUUUUCCUAAACACCUUCAUACCUGGACUUGGUACUUUCCUCUCUGCGUUUACAGUGCUGUGUGGGGCUCGCAGUGAGCUGAUCUCCGAGCGAGGGGUUUGCUGUGUGUUCUGGCUCAACGUGGCUGCAGCCCUCAUCCAGAUAGUGACGGCUGUUAUCAUGGUGGGCUGGAUCAUGAGCAUCUUCUGGGGCAUGGACAUGGUCAUCUUGGCAAUUUCAGAUGGGUUCUAAAUGGCAAAAAUGAAACCUGCAGUCCCAAAACAACUGGAGUUUACUACAGCCAACUUUAGUUCUGGAAACUGGGUGCAGAGAUCAGGGCGCUCCUCAAGACGUCUGAGAGAAGUCCUUCUGCUGUUCACCGAUGGAUCCAAUGAACUGUUUAAUCUGUUUAGUCACACGAAUACCCGAUUGAAACUUUUACUUUAUCAUUACACAGCUAUAUGACAGAAGCAAUUGAAAAACAAGAAUCACAUGGCUGCACUUUAAGAAAAUGUUCAGGCUGCUACAUUCUCCUUUGUAUAUUUAGAACCCAAAAAACAUUGAGCGGAGAAGUAAAGUAACAACAAACAUGGAUUUUUUUGUUGUUGUUACUCCUUCUAAAACCUUCCAAUAUUUCUCUUGAGCUGUAAAUAUUUCAUUUUUAUUUUUUGCAUGGAUUUGUGGCAAACCUUCAAUAUUAUUUAUCAAAGUAUUUGAACAAGUUCGCAUUUUAAUAAAAAAGUUUUUCUUUUGCAGGUGUUUUCCCCCCCAGUUUUGCGACUAAAACAGUAUUUUUUACUAUUAUUAAACCUAAAUGUGCUAGAAGCCAUUAUCAUCACUGUAGAUGCUUGCCUUCAUCCAGUCUAACAGUGCAGUAUUAAAAUGACAUGAGCGUCAUCUGUCAUAUUGUGACAUUUCCUUUUAUAUUUGUUUUACUGACUCCAUGGUACUUCUCUUAAAGUAUCUUGUGUUUUUACUGCUGAAAGUUCUUAUAUAAGUUGCUAUAAAAGCUUAAAUAUCAAACAGUGUUUCAUAUGAAGAUUUGCAUUGAACAACAAUGCAAUAACAAUAAUAAAUUCUUCCUAAAACAAUGACUCACGCCAGCAGAAAGUUUUUCAAUUAUAAAAAAAAAAAGAAAAUCUGUGUAAAAAGGAGCUAAAAAGAUAUCACACAGUUUUGGAGUUUCAAAUCUAAUUAACGGGUCUAAAAAUAUCAUCUCGCUCGGCUUGGCAGAGCGGUCACAACCCUGUCUGUCAGACUGCAGAUAAAAAGCGUAGACAUGGAUGAGUUACUCAAGUCUUCAACUGAAGUUUGAACUGCGGCUUGAAUUAAAAAGAGCAUUUUGGUAUUUAAAAAUCUAACUCUCAUUAUAUGUGUGGAUACAGAUGAACUCAUCAGGACGACUGAGGGCUAAACAGUAUUUAAAUACGUUAGUGUUGGGCUGAAAUGGGGAGAAAUGCAAACAUCUACUUGAAGGGCUUUCCCAUGAUUCCCAAUCCUGGUUUCUCGUUCACAAUGCAUUGACGUCUAUCCUCUAGUAAAGAUCAUAAAUCUUAAAAAAAAGAAGAAAGAUUUUACAGACUUCAAUCACAAAGGCUGGAAGCAAAUAUGAACAAUUUACAAUAAACGUGUUUGUUCUUCUGCCCGCUGGUAUGCAUCAAGGUACAACUUUACAGCUGAAGUAAAUGUAGUAGAGCUUUCAUAAACAUACUUUAUUUAGGCAGUGCGUGUAACUUAGCAGGUAAAAGCUCAUUUUUUGAUCUUCUUGGCUGCAAAACUGAGAUCCAAGCGUGUGAAUAUAAAGGUUAAUCAUUCAUGAGAAAAAUGUCUGUGCCUUUAAUGAAAUCACUUGUAAAUACGUCCGUCAGUGAUGUCACCUUAACUUUUAUUCUUCUUCAUCUUCUGUGGUGCUGUUGGUGUUACUCAGCCGUGCUCUUAUUUUUAUUGGAGUUCAUUUUCAGUAAUACUUCUCUUGUAAACUUCAGUAAAAAUCUUGUUUUUACUGUUUCUGUGUGGAGCCUGUAUAAUGUUUGAGAAGGAAAAUUAAUAUGUCUGUAAUGUUAUGUGAUUUUUAUUGUAAUAAAAUAAACAGUGCAGUGGUUUUAUGCUUUAAGACUCCUAAAAGUAAUUAAUAAAAUCAUCAAAAAGAUGGAAAA